AGAGGAACACCAAGCCUUCCUAAGGCUAAAAGGAGGUCUCUUUUGAGCUUUGAGGUAUUAAUUCUUAUUAACCAAAAAUCCAUCUUUAUCUGGAUAUGUUCAUUCUUGUUUUUAUUUACUAAUGUUGGUGAUCUUUUUGUGUGUUUAUUAUGGAAAAAAGAGAAGUCGUAUGUGUUUGUUUUAAUCGAAAUCACGUUGUCUACAAUCUAUAAUUUUUUUAUAUUUUAUAUGCUUUUCGUUUCAUUUUAUUUGUUUUUUUAUAUUAAAAAUAUAUUUUUUUAUUUGUUCUCUUUAGUCAAACAGUAGAAGUUUAUUAUUUUCUUCCAAUAUUAUCCUUAUCGUUAAGUAACACUACUAAAAAGAAAAUGUUAUUCCACUAUAAUUCAAAAUUGGGUGAGAUAAGAUUUGAUCAUAUUUAGAAUUGAGUUUGAGAUUAGAUUUAUAUAGUGUUUAAUUAACAAUAUAAAUUUAUCUUAAUUCUGAGAUAUCAGACCUUAUUCCGCUUACCAAACAAUCCAAUAUCAAAUUAAACUUAGAUUUUCAUUUCAGUAAUUGACAAAAGCAUCUAUGUAAUAAUCAAUUCCCUAUUAAAGUAUAAAUAGGAAGUCCAAGUUACUACUACUUCUUUUAUCCCAACUCUUUUUGGCUUUCUAUUCCAAUUAGAAUAUGGUAAAUUCCAUAGCACAUAUGAACAAUGUGGCCUGGGGAGAAAUUUUAGAAACAAAUUUUCACUUCUUAUAUAUAAACCAAAAAGUUUUCUAAUUAUUCGAACAAAUCUACAUUUUAGAUGCAGGUGUUAUUACAACUACUUAUGUGAUGUAUCGCAAUGGAGGCAACCAAAAUCUAUCAAGCCAUUACUAGAAGAAUAUUAUCAAUUUGAUGAUGAUCUAGAUAAUUCAUAAGGCAAGUUGGAAGGAUUCAAACGAAUGCAUCUAUGAGGAGAAAGAUCGAUAAACGAUCUUAAGAUAAAUGUGUUUUUUGGUACGAAAACAAGCUCUCAAAGGUGAAUACCAAAGACUAUUUGCUUGGGAUAUGUUAAAUGAUUUAGCAUGAGUCGUGGCAAGUAUUUUCAGUUGAGGUUUGAACAUUUAACGUAUAAAGUUUAAACUCCAAUUCAAAAUACUUACCACGACUCGAGCUGAACAUCUAACCUAUGCUAAGUAAGUAAUUUUUGAAAUUCAUCUUUCAAAGCUUGUUUUUAUACCCGAAAACACCUUUAUCUUGAGAUCCUUUAUCGAUCUUUCUCCACAUAGAUGCACUCGUUUGUAUCCCUCCAAUAUGUAAGUCUUUUGUAACAAACUCCUAGUCUCAAUAUAUAAUUUUGUUGUUAGGAAAUUAAAUUUCAUAUAUAUAUAUAUAUAUAUAAGGUACAAUCAAUUAAUUCCAGCAAAACAUUAAUUUGAAUUGUCAAAUUCUAGUUUUCUCUUGGGGUUUCAAUCUGAUUGCUGAUCGAAUAUGACAAAUUCCAUGAGAAAAUUAAAUUUUGGAUAGGGAAGCUAAGUCUUAUAUGUCUAUGUAAAGCAAGAAUAAUAUUUCAUUUUUCAAUUAUAUAGAAGAGUCAUAGCAUAAAUGAAAAAUGACAUUUUUUGUAAAUUUUACUUUAUAUAAGGUAAAAUUAUAAUCAUGUAUGAUGUAUGAGAGGUUAAAAUGAAAUUCUAGAAAGAUCUAAUUUUCUUUUUCAAGCUCCCCCAGAAAAGACUUAUUCUACAUGUGACAUAAGACAUUUUAGUGCAACUUCUUGAAGCAGAUCAACAUAGAUUUAGUUAUCCAAAUUGAUUAUAAUAUGGAAGUAUAUAUUGGAGGGUAAAAAACUUGGAUUUUCACUCAAUUUUAGAUAAUUGAUCAUCGCAUUCAAUUAUUUAACUUUGUUAUGUCUUUUAAAAGUUAUUCAACUUUAUUGAAUUGACUUUCCUGGUCAUUAUUUUUUAAAAUAUAAUUUUUGAUAACUGUUUAAUGACGUGACAAUCAUAAAUUUUAAUUAUUUUUUUAAAGAUUUUACAAUGAGGAACUUUCGCAUAUAGCCACUUAAAAAUAUCAUAAUUACUCUCCAUAGCUAUAGUUUGAUAAUUACAAUUCGUAGCUACAUGACUGGUUUAAGAGUCGCCACUUAAUUUUUAAGAAAAAUCAAGAAAACUGUUGUUUUCAAAAGACUAAAACAGAAAUCUAGUGAAAACUUAAAAAGGGUUCGAGGUUCUUAUUAACAUUCUAGGAAGGUUUUAAAAGCACCUAGAAUGUCCACUAAUGUGGUUAUCCGACAAUUAAUUAUUUGGCUAAAAAAUAAUUUUAACUUAACUUAAAUUGCAAAAUUGAAUUAUUCUACAGUUAGAACUAUUUAAAAAGAGGGGAAAGGGAAGUACUUAAAUAUAUCUAAGUGAGCUAUCUUAUAAAAUUAUUUCUUUAAAACUUGUUAAGAGAUGACUGAUUUAGUUAAAUUGUUAAAUCAAAAUGAGCGUUUUUCGGGGAUUUGAAUUUUUCAACUUUAAGAUUAGCAACAAAUAUUAUCAAGCACGCAAACACAAUAAAAUAAAGAGGGAAAGAAACUCGGGCCCAAGUUUGGUUUUCUGUCCGCCUGGACCAAUACUUGGGCCCAUUUCGUUUCGGGCCUUAGACCCAUUUGAGUCACCUGCACCUGUCCUAAACUAACGUAAACAAAUAUCUUUCUUUGGGCCUUAGGCCCAAUUUUUCACCUGUCCUAAACUCUUACAACAUAAUAAACAUAAUGACUAAAUGGGAUUAGGCCCAAUAAAAACAAAAUACAAUCCUUUUUAUAUAAAGAGUGGGCCUUUGGCCCAAUCUUUUCAAUUCUUCUCCGCUUUCGCAUUUUUCCACCUUCGAGACUUGUUCGUCGAUUUUUAUAGGCCGGAUGACUCGAAAAAGGAUUGGGCCUCCGUGGCCCAACAAGAAAAUGCGAGGACAGAGUCCAUGAGGACUCGGGUAGAUUUCACAUGCAUAAAGGAGAUAAAAUUAGCAUACGACUCAACCAAAAUGGACAGAGAAAAGAAUAUGCUACAUUAUGUAGGGAAAGAAAUGAGAUAUAUAGAUAUAUACUAUCAUGUAAUUAAGAGAAAUUAUAUAAGGCCAAACAGAAAGUUAAAAAAUGAAAAUAAAUAUAUAAGAAGGCCAAAGAACAUGAUGUCAUUUAAACUUAAUGAAUUAACAUGGCUGCUAGCAAAUGGCGUUAUGACGAUCAAAAGCAAACCUCACUUAAUUACUAAAUUCCAUAAUAAGCAAUAUCUUUUGUGGAAAUUAAGUAAAUGUGAGCCAACAGGAAAUUAAACCUAUAGGCGUUACUAACAUAUGUAUAAGCUAGAGAGACCGAUGGAAUAAGCUAAAAGUAAAUCAUGAUAGGCAAAUCUCACAUACUACCUCUUUAAAGAAAAUGGCACACUUCAACAUUAACAAAUUUAGUACAUCGAGCACCUAAACAAAGGCAAUUUUUAGGAAUAAACUCAUACUUAAGUCACAAACACACACAUGAACGCUAAUCGAGAAACAGAUAUACAAUACACGAGCUACAUAUUAGCUAGCUCUAAGACUCCAACUUCAUUUUUUUUUUUUGAAAGGGAAAUAGCAUUCACAGUAGUAGAGAAAAGGGAACUUUAUAUGCUAAUAGGCCAGAAUACAAAAAAAUAUAUAAGAAUAUUCAAUGAUAAAUUAGUAAGUGAAUACGAGAUAGUGAUAGUUAAAUAGUCUUAAAAUGAACACUAAGAGACAGUGAAAUCGAACAUGAAACAAACAUCAGCAUCACAGAUAUAUUAGGGAUUUCAUUUGAACGAAAUGAACCCUUUAACAUGAUAGCUAACUCGAAAAAGAAAUUCGAAGACUCAUACAAAUAACAACACUUACAAGAGCACAUUUUAUAUCUCAAACGAACAAGGAGCCGACUCUAACUCAAUCACUAGGCUACGACAUAAGCCAAGAAUCGAGUAAAACAAAGUCAGUCGAGAAAGGAAGGGGAAAGAUAAAUCAGUAAACAACCUCAACAUCAUUAAAACAGUACAUUGACUAAAGAGUUGGAAUUGACAACGGAGUUUACCUUUUUGUGUGCAGCGAAUGGGAACAAGACGAGCGAAGAGCUGACCUUCCUACCACGAGAACUCGAACGCGAAUAGCGGGUAAGGAAUUUGAGCCGACAACUUAACCCAAACACCAAAAAAAAAAACUUAUUGUAUCCUCGACCUCCAAAAUGUAUUUCUAGCUUUUUAAUACUAAUGUUCA
rnacentral:lncRNA from 1 species